AAUAACCUGCGAAUGCAUAACUGACCACCUGUGCGUGUGCCUUCCUGCGGCGCCAAGGCCAGUGGGCACUCUGGUAGCUGCUGCCCAGGCAGUGGCUCUGGGGCAGGAUGGGGGUCAGGGCUGAGCGCACCCUCCAGAAUGACCUCAGCUCCUGGCCUUGGGCCGCAGGCUUCCGGAGCUCACCCUCACGUGCAAGGAUUCGGGCCCUGGAAUCACUUCUUCCCCUGGAGCGCAGGAAGAGCGGUGGCCUGCAUCCAGCCGACAGAACAAACCAGGGGUGGUGAGCGAGAACCCCCCGACGUGGCCUCGGUUACUUCAGACCCUGUCUUGACAGACAGGCAGGACCAGGGAUUCUCCUCCUGGCCUUGAACAAGUGAGCUAAACAGGAUGUGAGAAGGCGCGUAAGGGGCCGCAGGCCAGGGGUCUGGCAGCCCCUAAGAGCUGAGAGUGGCCUCCCGCUGUCCAGCAGAAGAAAGCAGCCACGUGACCUUAGAAGAGGACCCGGAGCCUCAUCAGGAAACCUGACAGUUUGAUUGCACACUUCUGGAGCCCGAGCAGAGGACCCGGGUGGGCCGUGCCCGGCCUCCUGCCCAGGGAGCUGGGCACGGAGAAUAAACGCAUGUUUGUCUGUUU